AAAAAAAGGCAGUCCUCUUUUGCAUGGGAGUAUUGGUUUUUUUUCUUUUCCAACAUGAGACACCAACACCAGCGGCUUUCUGAAAAAAAAGUGCAGUGUUGCAAUGUAUGUGUUUUAGUCACUUGGAAACAAGGCUAUGUGACACAGGUUGAUUAUUGAUACACCAGUAUCAUAGGAUCACCAUGGUGACCUGCAAAAUGGAGAUGCAAACCACAAGAACUACGAGUCUCAUGAACUGCGCAGGCAAAGCUGAAGUCAAACUUUUCACUUCACUGUGACAAACCAAGAUGAAGCACAUCAAAACAAACUUUCAUUCCAGAAUAAAGGGAAAAGCUAGUUUGA